rnacentral:tRNA from 1 species
GUCCCUAUCGUCUAGAGGCCUAGGACACCGCCCUUUCACGGCGGUAACAGGGGUUCGAAUCCCUUAGGGAUGCCA